rnacentral:lncRNA from 1 species
UCCCCUUUUAUAGAUGAUUCUGAUGUAACCGUCGAGCACGUAGUCUCAUUUUUUAUGGUGUUAAAUUAUCGAGCCAUAAUCAUGGAGUUAAUGGGUCAUUUAUACCCACUAAUAUUGUGACACGUAGUCGAUAACUGUUUAUAACAGUUAGAUGAGUUGAGAAGAUAAGCCGACUAUAUGUCAAUAAUAGCGGCAAGUCGGUAGUCCUAAA